rnacentral:rRNA from 1 species
UACGUAGGGUGCGAGCGUUAAUCGGAAUUACUGGGCGUAAAGCGUGCGCAGGCGGUGGUGCGAGACAGAUGUGAAAUCCCCGGGCUCAACCUGGGAACUGCAUUUGUGACUGCACGGCUGGAGUGCGGCAGAGGGGGAUGGAAUUCCGCGUGUAGCAGUGAAAUGCGUAGAUAUGCGGAGGAACACCGAUGGCGAAGGCAAUCCCCUGGGCCUGCACUGACGCUCAUGCACGAAAGCGUGGGGAGCAAACAGG